rnacentral:rRNA from 1 species
UACGGCGAGUGACAGCAAAGCUCAGUUUUGAAAGCCUACUUUGUAGGCAUUGUAUUCUGAAGCCUAGAUUCUGGGAAACGGUGUUUAAGUCUUCUGGAAAGGAGCGCCACGGAGGGUGAUAGCCCCGUACGGCACUGACCCCAUUGUAGUUUCUAGGCGUGGAGUCGAGUUGUUUGGGAAUGCAGCUCAAAUGGGAGGUAUGCUCCUUCUAAAGCUAAAUAUUUGCGAGAGACCGAUAGCGAACAAGUACUGUGAAGGAAAGAUGAAAAGAACUUUGAAAAGAGAGUGAAAUAGGACGUGAAAUUGUUGAAAUGGAAGGGUAGGCUGCUAACCAUGUAGGACCGUGUCUGAGGGGAAGAUAAAAGCUACGGAAUGUGACUCUUCGGAGUGUUAUAGCCGUGGUCAAUGUUCCCACUUAGGCGCGAGGAUCUCAGGUUCUACUAAAUGGUGGUCUACCACCCGUCU